CCUACGGGUCGCAGCAGUGGGGAAUAUUGGACAAUGGGCGAAAGCCUGAUCCAGCCAUGCCGCGUGUGUGAAGAAGGCCUUCGGGUUGUAAAGCACUUUCAGUGGGGAAGAAAGCCUUGGGGCUAAUACCCUCGAGGAAGGACAUCACCCACAGAAGAAGCACCGGCUAACUCCGUGCCAGCAGCCGCGGUAAUACGGAGGGUGCGAGCGUUAAUCGGAAUUACUGGGCGUAAAGCGCGCGUAGGCGGUCUGAUAAGCCGGUUGUGAAAGCCCCGGGCUCAACCUGGGAACGGCAUCCGGAACUGUCAGGCUAGAGUGCAGGAGAGGAAGGUAGAAUUCCCGGUGUAGCGGUGAAAUGCGUAGAGAUCGGGAGGAAUACCAGUGGCGAAGGCGGCCUUCUGGACUGACACUGACGCUGAGGUGCGAAAGCGUGGGUAGCAAACAGGAUUAGAUACCCCAGUAGUC
rnacentral:rRNA from 1 species